AUAUACGUAUUAUUCCCUCUAGCAUUAUGUUUCAUCAAAGGGGUAGUAAGCUCUUGAUACUUAAUCAAGUAGUUUUGAUAUUGUGAUACUAGUGUUUGAUAUUUAUAUGCUCUUUUUAUAUUAAGGGGUAUCGUUAUUCUGGCAUAUUGUUAUCUUAAAUAUAAAAUAUAAAUGAUGGAUAAUUCUGCGGCACAAAGUGUAGAACAAACUUUUGGUAAAACGUUUCUGCAAUACUGUUUACAUAAUAAAAUAUUACUCAAACGUGAUAAAUGUGGUGCUUUUGAAGUGUCUGGGACAUCAAAUAACAUUAGAACUUUAUCAAACUGUUUAUAUAUUAUUGACAACAUUAAAUCGGAAACAAAUAAGAAACUAAAAAAACUACAAAAAGAAGCAUUGGCUGCGGACUAUUCACCCUAUUCAGCUCUAAUAAAGGCUAGAACUAAAACAAACAAAAGUAAAGUGAAAAAUAUCUUCAAAAGAAAACGUGUAUGAAUUUAUGAUAAAUGACUUCUGGAAAUAAUAAUGGAACAUUAUAUAUCAUAUAUUCAACUUGGAACUCCAUCCAAAGGAAAUUUAAGAAAGGAAUACGUUCAAAAAUCUUGCAGCCUGAUACAAAAUAUAAUGAAUGGAAACUGCUAAUAGCAAGCAAACUGACUAAAAAAUUAUUUUCUAAGUAAGAAUCAAAAAAAAAAUUAGUAAAGGAGUGUAUAAAGGAAAGAGAGAGAAACCUGGGGAAAUGGCCAUGAAGGGAAAAGAGCAAGAAAGAGAAAGAAGGGACUAGAAGAGGUGAGAAAUGGGGGGACGCAGAUAACAAGAACGGAGCAAAAAAGGAUGACAGCAGAUCAGAUUAUAAAGGAAAGAAGAAAAAGAAGCAUAAGAGAGGGGGAAAAGGAUAAGGGAAUCCAAAUAUAAUAUACACUACGGAAAUAUAGCCAAAGAAAAAUUACCAAAGUACCUAGAAGGGAGGAUGAAAUGGAAAGACAGGAGAAUACUGGCAAGAUUCAGAUAUGGAAACGAGACCAAAGCAAAGAAAUACUGGAAGGAAGAGGGAGAAAAAAGAUGCAGACUAUGUAAAAGGAAUGAAGAAGACCUGAGGCAUGUAAUAGAAGAAUGUGAAAUAACGGGAGGACCAAAGGACAUAGGAAAAGUACUAAAUGAGACGGGAGAAGGUUUAGCAGAACUGAAAGCAAUAAUAGAGAAGAGGGGGGCAAACGACAGGAAGGAUGCAUUAGUGGUUAAUUUGUAGUUCCUAGUUUUAGUUUUUAGAGAAUAGAAUAACUACGAGAGUGCAGUAGAAUAGAGUGGAAAAGAGGAGAGGUAGAUAUAUAAGGAAAGAAUUAGACAUAAGAGAUGUAAAACCGAAAGUUUGUCCAAAGCCGAAAGGCACGGACUAAGCAACAACAAUAAUAAUAAUAUUUUCUAGGUAUUAUACCAUUUACCGUAAGAAACUUGAGAUAAAUCAUUUGAAUAUAACAUUCAAAUUUUUAAAACGGUUGCAUACUACAAUAUUUAGAAUCAUUAAUUUUAAAAACAAAUGGGGAUCAAUUGUUCAACACAGACGUGAUACAGAAAUAACAUAUUUAUAUUUUAUAUCUUAUGAUGUAACAAGUCUUUUUGCUCCUAAAAUAUAAGGUAAAAAUGGAUGAAAAGAUCAAUGUCAUAACAAAAGGAGUGGUACAAGCUUCAAUUAUAUCAUCUAUUUUAUCAGAUAUAUAUUAUAAUUUUAUAUUACAUAAGGCAACAAAUUUAGCAAUUGGUACAGUUAUAAAAUACGUAAAUGAUAUUUUAUAUAUUACAAAUAGAUUUUUACAAUUAACAAAAAAGGAGUGCCAUGAUAUAAUUGUUUUUUUAAAUCAUCAACGACUCAAAAUAACGUGGCUUAUGAUGGAACAUAGCUGUGGACAAUAUUGCUUACAUUGGCCAUAGAAUAAAUCAUCCAUUUUAAAAAAUUUCAUUAACAAUACUACAACUAUUCAAUGAAAUUUUCUGCAGUGGGUGAUCUAUGUUCUUUAGUAUAUACAUUCAGCAGUUGCUGUUCAGAAUCAUCUACAAAAUUCAGAAGCAGGGCGAUUCAUACGAACUUGCAGAUCCUCGUAUACAUUGCAUCUGCACAGGCCUGGCUCAAGCAUUGAUCAUCGUUAUUAUUAAGUUAAGCACGUGGAACUUGCACAUGCAUUGACUGUUUCAAGAUAUUAAACUAAUCAAAAACAAACUAAAUAUGUCCCUCUGUACACGAGGACUUCUGAUUUCAUUUUUAACUUCAGUUCUACCUGAGCAGCCGAGCUAGACAGAUGUGAGAAACUGUGCUUCAGUGAAAGUGCGAUAAGCAGUGAAUUUAGGUGAACGAAAAGACAACAAACACUGGCAAAUGGCUACAAAAAGCUACGAAAGCUACAAAAUGCAACAACAAAUACCACUAAUCAAAAUAACGAACGAAGGUGAAAUAUAUUACAUAAAUAAAACUACAAAAGAAAUGGAAACGAUUCAAAACCAAGAAGAAAACAGCUAUGAUGACGAUCUAUCAUACCAAGAUGAACACUAAAAGACAGCAACGGCGUACAAAAAGCAUAAAAUAAUACCAGACCCAAGCGCCAUGAAAACUUCACAUACAGAAAAGCAACAAUGGCUACAAGAUAUCCCAUUCUGAAAUUCAUUUGGUUCACUAAUAGAAGAAAUAAAUACGGACCCAACAGAAAAGGUCACAACUCAUAUCGUUAAACCUCCACCGAUCUACAUAGAUGCCCAAAUAAUAGAUCCACUAAUGAAAUACACACUAAGCAUAGAAACAUCAACAUCUUUGGUAACUGAAGUUAUGCACAACUAACUAAUCAAACACCACCCUUAAACAACCAAAACAACAACAAUAACAACGCUACAGAAAUCAAGGAACUGCUCAAGCAAUCCAUCAAAAACACUAAAAUGCUAACAAAAAUGAUAAGUGAGCAAAAUGCAGUACUCAAACAACAAACACAACAAAUUACAGUCAUGCUACAACUACUUACAAACAUGUUAAGUGAAAAAUAGAAAUGGACACGCUGAUAAUAACAGCUUGAAACUCCAAUGGUCUACAACAACAGGCCCUCGAAACUAAAACAUUUCUAUAUAACAAUAAUAUUGACAUAUUACUUGUUUCAGAAACACAUUUUACACCAAAACACUACAUGAAAAUACCAUAUUACACCAUCUAUGAUACGAAACACCAUUCAGGAAAAGCACACGAUGGAGCCGCAGUAAUAAUAAGAAAUGAUAUUAAACACCACUUACGUAGUCAAAUUAAUCAGAAAAACAUUCAAGCAACCACCGUUACAAUACAAACUAACAGCAAUUACUUCCAAAUGUCAGCAGUACAUGCACCACUACGAUACAAAAUGACAUUACAAAAAUGGGAACAGUAUUUUCAAUCCUUAGGUAACAAAUACAUUGCAGAGAGAUUUCAAUGCAAAGUACACGCUAUGGGGCUCAAGAAUUAAGACACCUCGAGGUAAAACAUUAGAAAAAUAUAUUAGAACUAGUAAUCACAAUAUAUUAUUCACAGAAAGACCAACAUAGUGGCCAACAGAUUUAAACAAAACUCCUGAUUUGCUUGAUUUUACAGUUAUAAAAGGACUAAAUGCAAACAAAUUAAAAAUAACACCCAAUCUUAUGCUUAGCUAUGAUCAUAUACCAAUAAUAAUAGAAUACACAAGCAAACCAAUACUUUAUAAAAUCCAAAUCAGAAUCGUUUUGCGACUCCUGCUCGGGCAGCCGAGGAGGACGGACGUGUCUAGACGGUCGUCCUCUCCAGAUAUAAGUGAAUAGUGAAAAAGUGCUUCAAAGUAAUAGUGCUGCAAAGUGAUAGUGAGGAGGAAAUAAAAUAGCAAUGCAGAUACCAACUAUACACAUAGCAACAAAGGGGGAAACAUAUUAUAUAAAAAACAAACAAAUUAACAUGGAGACAGAAGAAACAAAAGAGCAGCGGGGACAGGAAGAGAGCAAUUCAGAUUAUGAAAGAUACUAUCAGGACGAAAGCUGGAAGCUAGCGAA